UCCAAAUCGUUUGCUGCCCGUUCGGCGCGGGUUGUUGUUGUCCCAUUUAGCAGCCGAUCGGCCGCCUUCCCACGGAUGCAAAUCGUCAGCGAGCGCCUCCGUCGCCUUCCGCACGGGAAGACCGCGACGACUUCAAUAUCCGCCGGUGGAUUCGUUCGCUAUUCGCCGCAAACGAAUCGGUGCGCGGCGCGACGGGACGGGAGGAGGAGGCCCAGGAGACCCAGGCCCUCCCCUCAUCCCACCCCCACUCCUCCUGCUGCUGCUGGCUCGGGCUCACUGCUCGGGGGUUUCGGUGUCCGCUGUCGCGGGCUGCCAGGCUGGGUUUGGGCUGCCGGGCUGGGUUUGGGCUGUCGGCUGGGGGCCCUCUGACCUGGCGGAGAGGCAGUACAGAAAGGUGGUUGUUGGGGGCGCUGUUCGCCUACGUGGAUUUGAGAUGGAGGCCGCAGGGUCGCAGGCGGUCUCUGGAGGGCCCCCGUCUCUCUCGGCCCCGCGGGCCACGCUGCUCAAGCGGGAGGCCUCCGAGCGGCCGUGGCCGGGCGUCAUCGUGAAGCGUGAGGUGGUGGACGGCUUCAGGCCUGACGCGGUGGCACUGUCGCUGAAGCGUGAGCACGAGGAGGAGGGGGAGGAGGAGGGGGAGGAGGAGGGGG